AUGAACGCUAGCUACAGGCUUAACACAUGCAAGUCGAGGGGCAGCAUGGUCUUAGCUUGCUAAGACUGAUGGCGACCGGCGCACGGGUGAGUAACACGUAUCCAACCUGCCGUCUACUCUUGGACAGCCUUCUGAAAGGAAGAUUAAUACAAGAUGGCAUCAUGAGUCCGCAUGUUCACAUGAUUAAAGGUAUUCCGGUAGACGAUGGGGAUGCGUUCCAUUAGAUAGUAGGCGGGGUAACGGCCCACCUAGUCUUCGAUGGAUAGGGGUUCUGAGAGGAAGGUCCCCCACAUUGGAACUGAGACACGGUCCAAACUCCUACGGGAGGCAGCAGUGAGGAAUAUUGGUCAAUGGGCGAGAGCCUGAACCAGCCAAGUAGCGUGAAGGAUGACUGCCCUAUGGGUUGUAAACUUCUUUUAUAAAGGAAUAAAGUCGGGUAUGGAUACCCGUUUGCAUGUACUUUAUGAAUAAGGAUCGGCUAACUCCGUGCCAGCAGCCGCGGUAAUACGGAGGAUCCGAGCGUUAUCCGGAUUUAUUGGGUUUAAAGGGAGCGUAGAUGGAUGUUUAAGUCAGUUGUGAAAGUUUGCGGCUCAACCGUAAAAUUGCAGUUGAUACUGGAUAUCUUGAGUGCAGUUGAGGCAGGCGGAAUUCGUGGUGUAGCGGUGAAAUGCUUAGAUAUCACGAAGAACUCCGAUUGCGAAGGCAGCCUGCUAAGCUGCAACUGACAUUGAGGCUCGAAAGUGUGGGUAUCAAACAGGAUUAGAUACCCUGGUAGUCCACACGGUAAACGAUGAAUACUCGCUGUUUGCGAUAUAGUGCAAGCGGCCAAGCGAAAGCGUUAAGUAUUCCACCUGGGGAGUACGCCGGCAACGGUGAAACUCAAAGGAAUUGACGGGGGCCCGCACAAGCGGAGGAACAUGUGGUUUAAUUCGAUGAUACGCGAGGAACCUUACCCGGGCUUAAAUUGCAGAUGAAUUACGGUGAAAGCCGUAAGCCGCAAGGCAUCUGUGAAGGUGCUGCAUGGUUGUCGUCAGCUCGUGCCGUGAGGUGUCGGCUUAAGUGCCAUAACGAGCGCAACCCUUGUUGUCAGUUACUAACAGGUUCCGCUGAGGACUCUGACAAGACUGCCAUCGUAAGAUGUGAGGAAGGUGGGGAUGACGUCAAAUCAGCACGGCCCUUACGUCCGGGGCUACACACGUGUUACAAUGGGGGGUACAGAGGGCCGCUACCACGCGAGUGGAUGCCAAUCCCCAAAACCUCUCUCAGUUCGGACUGGAGUCUGCAACCCGACUCCACGAAGCUGGAUUCGCUAGUAAUCGCGCAUCAGCCACGGCGCGGUGAAUACGUUCCCGGGCCUUGUACACACCGCCCGUCAAGCCAUGGGAGCCGGGGGUACCUGAAGUGCGUAACCGCGAGGAGCGCCCUAGGGUAAAACUGGUGACUGGGGCU
rnacentral:rRNA from 1 species